rnacentral:lncRNA from 1 species
AAACCACUGACUGAGCACUCUGAAGGAGAGUUAAAGGUUUUAAGAGAAUGAAGAAAAUUUCAAACGUUCACUAAGGAGAACGGGCAAAAGAGUUGACUAAGAAAAUAGAAAAGGAUACCAAGAAAUCAUUGAAGAAGAGAUUAAAGUUAGAGGACAUUAUUUUGUAUUUGUAUAAAUGUGCAUGUUUCCUCAAUUUUUCUCCAGCACAUACAUUACUCUGGGCAUGAGCACAGAAAGCAAGACAAUUGCCAGGAGAAUGUAAUGAAAAAUGAGUUGAAACACUGAAAAAGAUAAAGUACAUCAGUGGAAUAUGAACAGAUUAGGAAAUAAAAUAAAGAAGAUGAGUGGGCUGUGGAAAUAAAAGGAAUCACAAAACUGGAGGCUUAAUGAAGUUAAAGAACAUGUGGACUAGGAAAACCAAGAUGGUUGAAAAGACAGCAGAUUGUGAACACACAAAAAAUUCUGAGCUUAAAUUGUCAGCAGCAGUAAAGCAAUAUCAAGUAAUGAGAAUUCCAGCUGUGAGGCUGUAUGAGUGAUUUGCUGGAGAGGCACAGAAUUAUAGGUCAAUGGAGAUAAAGUCAUCCAUAAACUACAAACAAGGGAGUUGAAGGAGCCAUCCAGGGACAUUUAGAAAUGUGGUUUAGUCAAAUGGCAUGAAACUUUCAGAAAUAAAGAAUCAAGAUUAAAAACUGCCGAGAAUAUCCUAACACAGACUGUUCUUAUAAGAAUUUCAGUCGACGUUUGGAAACUUGAAAGGUUUGGGUGGUUUGGCUAAAGGUCAACCAAGAAUCAAACAUUUUAACUGCUUAUUCAGACUGAACUUUUCAACCAUCUCAUGUUGUUCUUUUUACUACUAUACAGUAAUGAUAAAAACCACUGUUUUUUUCUUAAUUUACUAAGGCAAAUAUUUGCAAAUACUAUACAAAUAGCAGCAUUUAAAUUUGUAACUAAUUUAUUUUUCUUGCAUUAAGCUAUGAGAGCAAUGUAAUCAUAAAAUCAUUCAUUAUUAAAGUGACCAGUUUAAUACUUCAAGCUAUUUUACUCAGUAAUAAAAGAGCUUCAAUAACAAAUGAAAUGUUCUUCUUUCCUGAAGGAGCAUAAAUUAUAAAAGUUUGUGAAUUUGAUUAAUUUUUUGGUAGUUUCCAUGAAGUAGUUGGUUAUAUUUGUGAUUGAUUGAAUAUAGGAGGGUUCUGAUUUUACAUGCAAGCUGAUUUUAAGGGGUAAGAAAGCUUUGAAUUUUUCUUUGACCCAAAUCAUUGGCAAUAAUUUUAUGCAUCACACUAUUACUCUUAUCAAUUAGGUUGAGAUUAUCUUUAUUAAUUGUCUCAGUCACAAUGCCCCAAGCCACAACUAGAAUUUAUAAAUCAGAACUGCAGGAGAGGAAACCUGGUCCUCAGAAUUUCUUUAAACUCUCACAAGUAAAACUGAUGAUCACCCUCUUAGAGCAGUAAUUUUCAGUAUCAACAGACUACCUUCUUUAUUUCUGGAUGGUAAAUAUAAAAGCCAUUCAUUUUGAUAAAAGGAUAAGAUCAAAUUUAAAACAAAAGUAUUUAUAUAUUACAUAAUUAUAAUGCAAUUUAUAUAAUAAAGUAAUAUGGAUUUCAAAAUAUAAAUCUUAGGCAGUACUACAGGAAAAUACAAAUUACAUUAAUCAAAUAUGUGUACUUACAAAGCAGUGACCUCCUUUUCCUAUCACUCACACUAUCCCCUCAAAAAAAAGAAGGGUCAGGAGGUUUUUAAAUUGCUUUCCUGAAUAUCACUGGGUAUGGUGUUCUGAUGAGGCAUGUGCCUCUGCUCCUCACUCUGUAGUAAGUGGUUGAUCAUACUUCCAAUCUUCUAAAAAUAAUAGUAGAAAUAUAAUAAUGCUAAUAAUUGUUAAUAUUUAUAAACACUUGAUAGUGCCAGGAGCUGUUCUAAGUACUUCACAUAUUAAUAAUUAAUUAAAUUUUAACAUGAAGAGUAAGAGUUAGGUACUCUUAUUCCUAUUUUGUAGAUUAAACCAAACCAAACCAAACAUGAAACCUGUUUAGAAAACUUCAUCGAAUUAUCACUCCACAUUCUAGCCAUUUCAAACUAUUUGUAUGCCCUGAAAGUAUUAUGCUUUUUUUCUGUUUUGUCCGUGAGCAUUGCAAACAAUAUUCCCUGUACCUGCGUAAGAGAGGGAAAAUGUCUUCUGUGUACCCUUCUAUGUUCUUUGGCCUAUGAAUUAAAUUGACAUAAGACAGAUUAACAGGAGAAAAUUAUUUUAAUUACAUGCGUUUGCACUGGAGUCCCACAAAACAUGAGAUUCAAAGAAGGGUCAGAUGAUUGAAGCUUAUAUGGCAUCCUGAGCUACAGAAAGGAAUUCCAUUCCCAUAUAUGUCAAAGAUGUCUCUGCCUGAGAGCUUUUUCUCAACUCACACGCUGUGUAAGGCUAGAAGUGACCACGAUUAAACCCUUAGUUGUUGCCACUCAUUCAUUUAUAGAAAUGAAUUGAAGGAUAAGUGUCUCAGGUUUUUUGAAAUUUGGAUUAGAAAACUUGGCCAUCUACCAGGGGUUUUCCUUAAGACUGAACCUUAGUGCCUCAGGGAUAACCUGGCUAGUUAAAGCACCUUUUAUUAAUUUUGUUUCCUCUCCUAUCUUACUUCCCACUUCUUUACUGAUUUUUCGUGCAGUUAAUUUGCAAUCAAAUCCUUUUCUUUUCUUUUUUCUUUUUUUUUUUUUUAAGAUGAAGUCUCACUCUGUCGCCAGGCUGGAGUGUAGUAGCACGAUUUCGGCUCGCUGCAACCUCCAACUCCCUGGUUUAAGUGAUUCUCCUGUCUCAGCCUCCCUAGUAGCUGGGAUUACAGGCAUGCACCGCCAUGCCCAGCUAAUUUUUGCAUUUUUAGUAGAGACGGGGUUUCACCAUGUUGGCCAGGAUAGUCUCAAUCUCCUGACCUCGUGAUCCACCCGCCUCAGCCUCCCAGAGUGCUGGGUUACAGGCGUGAGCCACCACACCCGGCCCAAAUCCUUUUCUUGAAGUAUGCCUCUAGGGAACUCAGCUAAAGAGUGUUGGUGAAGGAUGAGAUUCUGGAGUUAGAUCACUUGCUGUGCAAAUGUCAACAAGGCCCUCCUUGCUGUUAGUAACUGGGUUAAUAAUUAUCCACAGCAUCCUAUACAAUGCAACUACUCAUAUGGAUUAGAUUAGAAAACCCAGAAGACUUGUAGAAUUUAGCACUGGUUUAUGUAAUAGCUCUAGUGCUUAAAAGAAUGCUAAUUAUGCAUAUUGUGAUAUUGUUUGGUGAUUGUUAACACCAUAGAAGCCCCAAAGAAGGAAAGUAACAAACAUAGAAUAGCAAACAAAAUGACUUAUAGUGUGACUUUCAGAAAGUGUCCUUGGUGGCACUUUAGGAGACCCUUAUCAAUUCUGGCUAGAGACAGGAGUGUGUUGAAAACUACAAUCUUAAUUGUAACAAGCGCACACCACAAAGGAAGCUUAAUUUACAGCCAUAGCAGGGCUUCUCCUGUGUUAAAGCCAAAGCUGUGUUAACAAAUAAAUGAGACCCUUAGGCCAGAAUAUUUGGGUAGAGAUGCAUGCGAGAGGUGUUUAAACCUCUAGGUAGCCCUAAACAGUCUAAGCAGGAUGGGAAGAUUUCACUCUCCUUGCUGGAGAAACACAGCCUCAUACUAUUAUGAGAAGGACUCACCUGAAGUUAAGGCCCUGCCAAAUGAUUCUUGGCCUCCUUUAAGGUGUCUCCACCACUGCUCACAGCUUCUAGCCCAAUAAGGAAAUUCAAGUCUCACCACAGCUCAGGUAAAGUAUAGUUCCUGCUAUGGGAGGGAAAUUAUACACUAAAAGAAUUCUAGGUCCUGGCUAAUAUGUACCAGCAGAAAUCUGUAGAACAUGCUAGGCAAUUGAUCUUGAGGAUGUGGGACCAGAAAAGAUGAAGUAAAGGCCGGUAGAAAAUUGCUGACAUAGGGCCACUCACUCAUCAUUUAGAAUUGAAUAAUGCCUUAAGAAUGCUGGAGAUAGGUCUAAUAUGUUUCAAUAAUUAUUCCUUGAAGCUUGGAAACACCAAGUAAAUGAGGUAGAUAUGUCAGAACUGCUCCAGCAAUUAAGAAAGCAGACAGAAGUAUCAGAAAAGUGAGCAUGUACAAACAGAUUUAUUCUACAAGACCAGAAAAAUCACCAGCGGACAAUGUUUGAGGGUCCUGCAGCUGGACACCCGGGAAGGAGCUGGUUUUGGUCUGGUUUGAGCAUCAUGGAGCUGGACACCCAGGGAAGGGCUGUGUUUUUCUGGUUUGAGGGUCAUGGGGCUGGACAACCAGGGAGGAGCUGGUGUUUUUUUGGUUUAGGGGUCAUGGAGCUGGAGAUACGGUGCGGGGGUGGGGGCAGUGUUGUUCUAGUUUGAGGGUGGAGGAGCUGGAAAUCCAGGGGUAGGAGUGAUUUUCUAGUUUGAGGUCGUUUGAGGGUCAGCUGCACAACCCUCAACCUGGAGGGACACCAGCUCCCCCCUGGGUCUCCAGCUCCACAAACUUCUCACUGGAGAAACACUAGCUCCUCCCCGGAUCUCCAGCUCCAUGGCCCUCAGACUAGAGCCGCAUCAGCUCCUCCUCAGGUCUCCAGCUCUACAACCCUCAAGCUGGAACAGUGUCAGCUCCUCUCCAGGUCUGCAGAUCCACGACCUUCAAAUGAAAACAACAUCAGCUCCUCCUUGGAUCUCCAGCUCCAUGACCCUCAGACUUAAACAAGAGCAGCACCAGCUUCUCCCUGGGUCUCCAGCUCUAUGACCUUCAGACUUAAACAAGAGCAGCACCAGCUUCUCCCUGGGUCUCCAGCUCCAUGACCCUUGAAGUAGGAAAACAUCAGCUCCUCCUUGUAUCUCCAGCUCCAUGACCCUCUGAUCAGAAAAACAUCAGCUCCUCCCCAGGUCUCCAGUUCCACGACCCUCGAACUAGGAAAACAUCAGCUCCUCCCUGUGUCUCCAGCACCAAGACCCUCUGAUCAGAAAAACAUCGGCUCCUACCUGAGUCUCCAGAUACAGGAGCCUCAAACUAGAAAAACAUCAGCUCCUCCCAGGGUCUCCAGCUCCAUGACCCUCAAACUAGAAUAACAUCAGCUCCUUCCCAGGUCUCCAGCUGCACGACCAUCAAACUAGAACAUCAGCUCCUCCCCAAGUCUUCAGCUGCAUGACCCUCAAACUAGAACAUCAGCUCCUCCCAAGGUGUCCAGCUGCAUGACCGUCAAACUAGAACAUCAGCUUGUCCCCGAGUCUUCAGAUGCACAACUCUCAAACUAGAACACCAGCUCCUCUCCGGGUCUCCAGCUGCACGACCCUCACACUAGAAAGACGCCAGCUCCUCCGGGUUCUACAGCUGCAUGACCCUCCAAGUAAAAAAAACACCUGUUCCUCACAGGGUCUACAGCUGAACGAACCUCAGACUAGAAAAACACCAGCUCCUCCCCAGGUCUCAACCUGCAAGACCCUCAAACUAGAACAACAUAAGCUCCUCCCUGGGUUUCCAGCUCAAGGAACCUCAAACUAGAAUAACGCUAGCUUCUCCCUGGGUGUCCAGCUCCACUACACUCUGAUCAGAAAAACAUCAGCUCCUACCUGAGUCUCCAGCUUCAGGACCCUCAAACUAGAACAUCAGCUCCUCUCCGAGUCUCCAGCUGCACGACACUCAGACUAGAAAAACUCCAGCUCCUCCCAAGUUCUACAGCUACAUGACUCUGAAACUAAAAAACACCCUCUCCUGCCUAGGGCUUCAGCUGAACUAACCUCAAACUAGAACACCACCAACUCCUCUCUGGGUAUCCAGCUCCAUGACCCUCAAACAAGAAUAACACCAGCUCCCCCCUUGGUCUCCAGCUCCAUGACCCUUAAAACAGAACAACAUCAUCUCCUCCCCGGGUCUCAAGCUGCAUAACCCCCAAAAUAGAACAUCAGCUCCUUUCCAGGUCUCCAGCUGCAGGACACUUAUACUAGAAAAACACCAGCUCCUCCCGGGUUCUACAGCUGCGUGACCCUCAAACUAAUGAAACACCAGCUCCUCUCUGGGUCUCCAGCUGCACGAACCUCCAACUAGAACAACACCAGCUCCUCUCUGGGUCUCCAGCUCCAUGACCCUCAAACGAGAACAUCAGCUCCUCUCCAGGUGUCCAGCUGGAUGACCCUCAAACUAGAACAUCAGCUCCUCUCCGGGUCUCCAGCUGCACAACACUCAUACUAGAAAAACGCCAGCUCCUCCUGGGUUCUACAGCUGCACAACCCUCUAACUAAAGAAACACCAGCUCCUCUCUGGGUCUCCAGCUGCACGAACCUCAAACUACAACAUCAGCUCCUCUCCAGGUUUCCAGCAGCAGGACACUCAUACUAGAAAAACACCAGCUCCUCCUGGGUUCUACAGCUGCACGACCCUCAAACUAAAGAAACACCAGCUCCUCUCUGGGUCUCCAGCUGCAUGAACCUCAAAUUAGAACAACACCAGCUCCUCUCUGGCUCUCCAGCUCCAUGACCCUCAAACUGGAACAACAUCAGCUCCUCUCCAGGUCUCCAGCUGAGAGACCCUUAAAUGAGAACAACAUCAGUUCCUCCCCGAGUCUUCAGCUGCACGACCCUCAAACUAGAACAUCAGCUCCUCUCUGGGUCUCCAGCUGCAGGGCCCUCAAACUACCACAUCAGCUCCUCCCCGAGUCUGCAGCUGCACGACCCUCAAACUAGAACAUCAGCUCCUCUCUGGGUCUCCAGCUGCAGGGCCCUCAAACUACCACAUCAGCUCCUCCCCGAGUCUGCAGCUGCACGACCCUCAAAUUAGAACAUCAACUCCUUUCCGGUUCUCCAGCUGCAGGACACUCAAAUUAAAAAACGCCAGGUCCUCCAGGUUCUACAGCUGCACAUCCCUCAAACUAAAAAAAACUCCUGCUCCUUCCCAGGUCUCUAGCUGCACGAACCUCAUACUAGAACAGCACCAGCUCCUCUCUGGGUCUCCAGCUGCAAGACCCCCAAACUAGAACAACAUCCACUCCACCCAGGUUCUACGGCUGCACAACUCUCAAACUAAAGAAACACCAGCUCAUCUGCCGGUCUCCAGCUGCAUGAACCUCAAACUAGUACAACAGCUCCUCUCCGGGUCUUCAGCUGCAGGACACUCAUACUAGAAAAACGCCAGCUCCUCCCGGGUUCUACAGCUGCAUGACCCUCAAACUGAAAAACACCCGCUCUUCCCCAGGUCUCCAGCUGCAUGAACCUCAAACUAGAACAACAAGUCAAUACGAGAAAAACGCCAGCUCCUCCCGGGUUCUACAGCUGCAUGAUCCUCAAACUGAAAAACACCUGCUCCUCCCCAGGUCUCCAGCUGCACAAACCUCAAACUAGAACAACACCAGCUGCUCUCUGGGUCUCCAGCUGAAUGACCCUCAAACUAGAACAUCAGCUCCUCCCUGAGUCUUCAGCUGCACGACCCUCAAAAUAGAACACCAGCUCCUCUCCGGGUCUUCAGCUGCAAGACACUCAUACUAGAAAUUCACCAGCUACUCCCAGGGUCUGCAGCUGCACAACCCUCAAACAAAAAACACCAGCUCCUUCCCAGGUCUUCAGCUGCAAGACCCUCAAACUAGAAAAAUACCAGCUCCUCCCCAGGUCUUCGGCUCCAUGACCCUCCAAUUAAAACAACAUCAGCUCCUCCCGGGUCUCCAGUUGCACGACGCUCCAAUUAGAACACCUCUCCCCGCUGGAUCUCCAGCUCCAUGACCCUAACAGAAGAACAGCAACACCAGCUCCUUCAUUGGUCUUCAGCUCCACAACCUAAGACAUCAGUGGCAGCACUGGCUCCUCUGUGGACCUCCAGCUCAACGACUCUCAGACUUAAAAGGCAGCAACGUCUCCUCCCCAGGGCUCCAUCUCCACCACUCUCAGAUUUGAACAGCGGUCGCACCAGCUCCUGUCCGGGUUUUCAGCCCAAUGACCCUCCCUGAACAAUCCCUUCUCAUGAAAUUCAGCAGUCAAGUAAAUGAAUAAAUGUUUUGUUUUCAAAUAAUAAAAAUAAAAAUAAAUAAAACUCAGUGUUAGUAUGAACAUGGAGAUAAAUCAAACUAAAAAUUUUUAAUGAUACAAGUCAUUAUAUUUAGAUAUAUAUCUAGAUAAUAUAUUUAGAUAAUCUAAAUAUAUUUAGAUAAUAUAUAUGGUGCUAUAGGGGAGGAAAAAUACCUCUCUUUUUUCCAUCUUAGGCUACUGGCUGAGGCCACAUAACAAAAG